AAGAGAGGUUCAGUGGUAAAAUUAGAUUAAGAUUAAAGAUUCAGGUAUAAGAUAGCGAUAAUGGUUAAGGCUCUAUCGCUUACUUCCGGUAUACUUCCGGAAAAUUAGCAUGAAACUAGCAAGUGAGCUUUGUUCUCUGUCCAGUUCUAAGGAUAGAAUGCUAGGUUUUAGCAAACAAAAAUGGGCUUUUCAAGUUUUGUGAGUGUCUUAAGACCAGAGUUCUGCAAAUACUGAGUUUUGAGACGUGUCAAAUAGAUGGCGUUUUGAUUGUGUCAGUUAUGGGCCUAUGGGCUUAUGGCGAUUUGCUGUCAACAGUUAAGCUAUCUUUUCUUCGAAAAUUACCAAUGAAUUCUUAGUUAAAUUCGAGUGAUUACGUAUGUAAAUUGUCGUUGGUGUGUUCUUAUUCCGUGUGUAUGUUCAAUAACCUCAAUGUUUUUUCUCAUCAACUUACAGAAGGAAACGUGAAAGGGUCGUGCAGCCUACCGUCAACUAUUUUGUUCAAAAUCAUUAAUUGUAUUUUACUGAAUGUGCCAUGAAAAUGAUACAGGAUUCAUCAUUAUCGGCUGUUUGUAUUGGACUUGCUAGAUAACCAAUCCAGCAUUAACUAAUCUCUCAUUCCUACUUCUUUUGGGAACCUUGGAUAGCUGAUCGAUGGUUUCAUGUGUUCGUCUAAUUACACAUUUCUAAAUUGGCAUGGCAGACUUUAUGAGAAGUCCCGUCCUUUCAAAAAAAAAAAGGACAAUGACUAUACAGACAGCAAGGUUCCUUGUUUGCUAACCAUUGGCUGCUACCCUUGAAUCUCCCUUUUUACUUCCUUACAAGGGCCCUCUUCAUUUGAGGGUAACUCUUUCGCUACUGAUCACAUCCACUGUUGUAAACUGACGAGAGAAUGCUGCAAUUCAAGACUGAUACAUUGUGUAGUGGUUAGAUCAAUGACAAGUGCAUAUCUGGGCUCCCUUCUUUUCUGUGGCCCCGUUUCCCUAACUAACCACUAACCAACGCCCGCCGGUGGUCACUCACCCGCUGUGAAACCAGGAGGAGGGGAGGGCUCUGGUCGAACG